rnacentral:lncRNA from 1 species
ACAAUCGGUUGGUUCUAGUCGGUGAGCCUGUGAAAACCGACCGAGUUCGUUGUUAUCUCGCAAAACAACAAGUUGGGUUGUGAGCUUGUAAAACAACCGGCUGUAAUUUGUAGGAUUAUAGUGAAAUUCCCAAGAGGUCUUGGGGAGUGGAUGUAGGUGCUGGGGUGCACCGAACCACUAUAUGUUUGUUGUGUUUGUGAUGCUUUUUGUCAUUGUCUAACUUGCUUACUUAGAUAUAUUGCUUGCUUAACUCUUAUCUACGCAUCCCUUAGUUGCAAGCAUACUCAAUUUACUUAAUCAAGUCCCAUUCAAUAAAUCAUACUGUUGCUAAGUUUAAAUUCCACUAUGCAUCUAUACAACUUAGCAUAAUUAAUUGAAAAGUCUUAGAAGUAGUUUAAAAGUUUUAAAAGACCCAAUUCACCCCCCCUCUUGGGUUGUAUCUACUGGGCAACAA